GAUGAACGCUAGCGGCAGGCUUAAUACAUGCAAGUCGAGGGGCAGCAGUUUUGUAGCAAUACAGAAGCUGGCGACCGGCAAACGGGUGCGGAACACGUACGCAACCUUCCUUUAACUGGAAGAUAGCCCACCGAAAGGUGGAUUAAUACUCCAUAAUAUAUUGAAGAGGCAUCUUUUUGAUAUUAAAGCUCCGGCGGUUAAAGAUGGGCGUGCGUCUGAUUAGGUAGUUGGCGGGGUAACGGCCCACCAAGCCUUCGAUCAGUAGCUGAUGUGAGAGCAUGAUCAGCCACACGGGCACUGAGACACGGGCCCGACUCCCACGGGAGGCAGCAGUAAGGGAUAUUGGUCAAUGGACGCAAGUCUGAACCAGCCAUGCCGCGUGGAGGAUGAAGGCCCUCUGGGUUGUAAACUUCUUUUCUUUGGGACGAAACCCCUGUUUCUACGGGGACUGACGGUACCAGAGGAAUAAGCACCGGCUAACUCCGUGCCAGCAGCCGCCGUAAAAC
rnacentral:rRNA from 1 species